CUAGCCAAUAGCUCUGGAAAGAAAAGCUAACACAUUCAUGAAUUAUCCUUGAAUUUUGUGCUUUAAUUUAAAAUUAUUUGUUAAAGUCAUGCUUGACUUCACCGUGAGAGUUCUGACUGGCUAACUUUGGCUACCUGGUAAAAAUUCAAUGAAGUUAAAGAUGCAUCUAGAAGAAGUUGGGUCAUCUCUGCAGAAGUCUUGGCUGGCUGAAGUCCCUUAAUCUGGUUACUUGGCCCAAGGGACAUGUAGUUACUUUAGAGCUGCUUCUGUCUUUUUCCACCUCCCGUGUGUGCUCAGCCAAGUUUCCAGCGCCUUCUUGAGGCCCCUGCAAACUCUUUAGUGCCUGCUGCUGCUGUCCCAUUUUGUCCUCACAUCGCUAUGUUAACUGCCUCAGAUUUCAAACGGAAUUUGUAAUGAGCUUUGCCUGGACACGACCUGUCAUAUGGAAGACAUGAUUUAUACACAGGGACACAAGAUUCUCUGUAAACGCUUUAUGGAGCCAGCUUCUACCGGAUGAUACAUACGUGUUGGAUUGGCUUCAUGAAGACAUCCCACUUCAUUCAUUUGUUUGGAGAGACCGUAUCGUGUAGAAGAGGGAGCUAGCUUCCCACGGCGCUUCAGAUGAGCACAGGCCCUGGAGCCAGGCAUACCUGGUUUGCUAUUCUUGUUCUAUACCUCUAACUCGUUCGCUACCCGGGGCCGGUGACAAUCUCUUUAAGGCUUGA
rnacentral:lncRNA from 1 species